rnacentral:rRNA from 1 species
UACGGGAGGUGCGAGCGUUGUCCGGAAUCACUGGGCGUAAAGGGCGCGUAGGUGGUUUGAUAAGGGUGUGGUGAAAGUCCGGGGCUGAACCCCGGAUCUGCCGUGCCGACUGUCAAACUCGAGGACUGUAGAGGCAGACGGAAUUCCGGGUGUAGCGGUGGAAUGCGUAGAGAUCCGGAGGAAGACCGGUGGCGAAGGCGGUCUGCUGGGCAGUUUCUGACACUGAGGCGCGACAGCGUGGGGAGCAAACAGG